rnacentral:rRNA from 1 species
AUUAGUGGCGAACGGGUGAGUAACACGUGAGUAACCUGCCCCCGACUUUGGGAUAAGCCCGGGAAACUGGGUCUAAUACCGGAUAUGACUUCUUACCGCAUGGUGGGUUGUUGAAAGAUUUAUCGGUGGGGGAUGGACUCGCGGCCUAUCAGCUUGUUGGUGAGGUAAUGGCUCACCAAGGCGACGACGGGUAGCCGGCCUGAGAGGGUGACCGGCCACACUGGGACUGAGACACGGCCCAGACUCCUACGGGAGGCAGCAGUGGGGAAUAUUGCACAAUGGGCGAAAGCCUGAUGCAGCGACGCCGCGUGAGGGAUGACGGCCUUCGGGUUGUAAACCUCUUUCAGUAGGGAAGAAGCGAAAGUGACGGUACCUGCAGAAGAAGCGCCGGCUAACUACGUGCCAGCAGCCGCGGUAAUACGUAGGGCGCAAGCGUUAUCCGGAUUUAUUGGGCGUAAAGAGCUCGUAGGCGGUUUGUCGCGUCUGCCGUGAAAGUCCGAGGCUCAACCUCGGAUCUGCGGUGGGUACGGGCAGACUAGAGUGAUGUAGGGGAGACUGGAAUUCCUGGUGUAGCGGUGAAAUGCGCAGAUAUCAGGAGGAACACCGAUGGCGAAGGCAGGUCUCUGGGCAUUUACUGACGCUGAGGAGCGAAAGCAUGGGGAGCGAACAGGAUUAGAUACCCUGGUAGUCCAUGCCGUAAACGUUGGGCACUAGGUGUGGGGAACAUUCCACGUUUUCCGCGCCGUAGCUAACGCAUUAAGUGCCCCGCCUGGGGAGUACGGCCGCAAGGCUAAAACUCAAAGGAAUUGACGGGGGCCCGCACAAGCGGCGGAGCAUGCGGAUUAAUUCGAUGCAACGCGAAGAACCUUACCAAGGCUUGACAUGUGCCAGACCGCCUCAGAGAUGGGGUUUCCCUUCGGGGGCUGGUCACAGGUGGUGCAUGGUGUCGUCAGCUCGUGUCGUGAGAUGUGGUUAAGUCCCGCAACGAAGCGCAACCCUCGUUCAUGUG